CCUACGGGAGGCAGCAGUGGGGAAUAUUGGACAAUGGGGGGAACCCUGAUCCAGCCAUGCCGCGUGUGUGAAGAAGGCCCUCGGGUUGUAAAGCACUUUCAGUGAGGAAGAACGCCUGGUGGUUAAUACCCAUCAGGAAAGACAUCACUCACAGAAGAAGCACCGGCUAACUCCGUGCCAGCAGCCGCGGUAAUACGGAGGGUGCGAGCGUUAAUCGGAAUUACUGGGCGUAAAGCGCGCGUAGGUGGCUUGAUAAGCCGGUUGAAGCCCCGGGCUCAACCUGGGAACGGCAUCCGGAACUGUCAAGCUAGAGUGCAGGAGAGGAAGGUAGAAUUCCCGGUGUAGCGGUGAAAUGCGUAGAGAUCGGGAGGAAUACCAGUGGCGAAGGCGGCCUUCUGGACUGACACUGACACUGAGGUGCGAAAGCGUGGGUAGCAAACAGGAUUAGAUACCCCAGUAGUC
rnacentral:rRNA from 1 species